ACGUCAGAAGUCCACAUGCGACCGGCUUUAAUAUUGGUCUUUCGUUCAAAUUGUUCCAAAUCUGCAUUUUAAGCAAUUGAUCUUGGCGCUACGACCAGAUUUAGCUAGGUCAAGUCUCAGAAACACCGGAGCGAAUCGGUUGCGUAGGAGAAUGAAGCUGUUGGGAUGGUGGUUGAUGUUGGUCGGUUCGCUCCGAUUGGCCUCUGUUUGGUUCGGAUUCUUCGACAUUUGGGCUCUUAGGCUCGCCGUCUUCUCCAACACAACUAUGACUGACGUUCAUGGGAGGACGUUUGGAGUUUGGACACUUCUGACUUGCACUCUUUGCUUUCUUUGUGCAUUUAACCUCGAUAACAAGCCCCUCUAUAUGGCAACCUUUUUAUCCUUCAUCUAUGCCUUUGGACAUUUCUUAACUGAAUACCUAGUAUACAACACAAUGGCUUUGGCAAAUCUGACUACCGUCGGCAUCUUUGCGGGCACAUCUAUAGUUUGGAUGCUGUUGCAGUGGAAGGUGCACCAAAAAGUCCAUUCUAAGCAUUCUUGAAAUUGAUUGACGUGGUUCUAGUGCUCCAUCCAUUUUUCUUCCUGUUUUGCAGCUCUCUGUUCUUUUACCAGACUGAAAUCUAAAUGGUUUCUGCUUUGAGUUAAUUGUUAAGGCCUCUGCAACCACCUGGCUCUUGUGCAAACCAGAGUUGCAAUAUGAAGAUUAAUCAGUUCAACAAAUUGUAUAACUGAACUCAACCAUCACAAAGACACAAAUGGCUACGCUUUUAAUCCUUCACACUCUCUUACGAUCAGGCACUAAAUCAGGAUACAAGUCCAGCCCAUUUUAUCUUCUACGAGGCCCAUUUGUAUAUUUCGAAGGAUGGAGAAGAGAUGCCGAGAGAUGUUACCCAGUCCACUUUCUCUAUAAGACACUCUGCACAGCAGAACAUGAAACCUUAUGAGACGGCGCUGAGAAGGGAAAUAGGUUCGUGCACAAUUUCAAUUUAAUGUACUACUUUCUGGUUUCUAGCACAGAUGAACUUCACGUUUUUUUUUUUUAACUUGAAAGACCCAACCCAAUGGUCACUCUGUGAUUCAUGGGCUCGUUUUAAGCU